rnacentral:lncRNA from 1 species
CGUGAUGCUAGGAUCGUCUAGACACCUCCUGAUCGUCAAUCUGACAACCCAAACGAGAGAAGAUCUAGAGAGAAGGCAAAGAAUUCUAGGGGAAUACUGUUCUAGAGAUAAAAGUAUUUUAGAUAAUGAACCGAGCUAUAAAAAUUUCUAUUUAUAUUAUAAGAUUAUUUUAAAGUAACUUGUUCGUCUCAUUAUUUUAAAAC